rnacentral:tRNA from 1 species
UCGUCAUUGCCCCGGUCCGGGCCCGGCUCGAAAUGCUGGAGCUGGCGCUCGCCGGAUUCCCGGAGUUCCGCGUCUCCCGUGUCGAG